UGUAGCUCAGUGGUUAGAGCAUCCGACCGGUAGGGCAUGGGUUCAACUCCCACGCUCAUGAAAA